GCUGAACUGACUAAGAGGCAUCUUGUGGGUCACUCCUGCUCCAGUGCAAACCUGGUCACUGGCUCCCUUUCUGCUUGGCAAUGUGUCAUUCUCAUUCUUAUAUGAAGCACACAGCAUAUUCAAAU
rnacentral:lncRNA from 1 species